rnacentral:rRNA from 1 species
GACGAACGCUGGCGGCGUGCUUAACACAUGCAAGUCGAACGGAAAGGCCCUGCUUUUGUGGGGUGCUCGAGUGGCGAACGGGUGAGUAACACGUGAGUAACCUGCCCUUUACUUUGGGAUAACUUCAGGAAACUGGGGCUAAUACCGGAUAGGAGCUCCUGCUGCAUGGUGUGGGUUGGAAAGUUUCGGCUGUUGGGGAUGGACUCGUGGCUUAUCAGCUUGUUGGUGGGGUAGUGGCUUACCAAGGCUUUGACGGGUAGCCGGCCUGAGAGGGUGACCGGCCACAUUGGGACUGAGAUACGGGCCAGACUCCUACGGGCGGCAGCAGUGGGGAAUAUUGCAAAAUGGGCGGAAGCCUGAUGCAGCAACUCCGCGUGCGGGAUGACGGCCUUCGGGUUGUAAACCGCUUUCGCCUGUGACGAAGCGUGAGUGACGGUAAUGGGUAAAGAAGCACCGGCUAACUACGUG